UUCUUCACCCCCUCUUCGAUCAGAUUUGUUUGGUUUCUUCACCCUCGCUCUUCUCCCCUUCUCUUCCACGGCGCUGCCUUCCUCUUUCAUUCUACAUAAUACUCUGGUUUCUUCGCCGCUUUUCCUCCUUUUCUCGGCGUUGCCUUCUUCGAUCUAUUCUUCAUAAAUGGAACUCAGGACAUAGUCUCCUAUUCCAGUGACAUUUAGUUGAAACAAGGCAGUUCUCACCUUCCUCGGGCUGAAUGAGCUUGAACGAAUUAGAUCGAACAAUCGUGGUGGAGAUUUAGGUUUUGUGGCUCCGUUGAAGGUCGGGCUUGAUGAAGAUGAGUUUGAGAUAUCUGCUGCUUAUGUGGAAGAGGGUUUAAGUUUGCUCGAGCUGUGUUUGGGCAUAUGAGAAGUCGUUAGAGAAAAGCUGCGGCUAAGGUUGAAGAUUUUGCAGUGAAUGAAGAUGGAGCGAAUUGAAUACGCAUAGAGAUAAGAGAUCACUUUGAGAGAUUUGUUAAGACUUGGUUCCCUUGGCAUCCACUGUUAUUAUCUUUGGCUUUGCUGGCAUGAUGGACGUAGUCUCUAAUUGACUCUCUUGAUAAAUUUUUGUGCCUCUCAAAAGCCGCAAGACUACGUGAUUUAUUGAGAGUAUUUGAAGACGAAGAGCCAGUUUUUUGUUUGAAGAGUCUUUUGAAAGAUGUUAUUGUCGAGGAGAGGUUCAAGAGGCGUAUGCAGCAACACACCGAGGUUGAGCUUUCUGCUGUGGCAAUGAAUUGACGGUUUGGGAGGGGAUAUGGCAACCUCUUAGCAUAUAUAGCCUAUGGAGAGGAACAAAUGAUGGUUUAGCACUGGCUAUUCCAAUGGUAAGGAUAUACCUUCACCUUUGUGAUGUACUCCGCGUACGCAGGGAAGAAUUUGCAGCCAGAGAUGCUCCUGUUGCAGAGUCAUAUGUCCGUUUGGUCGUUGGUUCUUGCACGAUCGUUAGUUUGUACCACAUGUUAUCCAACUGAACUUGAUCGAACUCAAAUGAUGUUGCUUAUCCUUUUCUGUCUUGGUAGAUUAGUGACUUACAAAUUUUUUCUAACUACUUAUUUACUGCGUUGUGUGAAUUACUCUAGCUAUACUCUUUUGGCACUCAAAUCUGCCUUUUAUUUGAUUGUAGGCAUUCAAGGAGACUCGAAAUAAGCCUCCUUUCGUAUUGUAUUGUAGACAUUAAUUAGGAUUGUUUCGAAUGUUAAAAUACAACUCGCUUUCAUGUAAAGCAUUGUGGUCUUGUAUAUAUUAAAAUUAUUACAUCUCAGUUGUCCUUGAAAUUUUA